UUUAUUAUAGCUCAACUGGUAGAGCAUGAGACUCUUAAUCUCAAGGUCGUGGGUUCAAGCCCCACGUUGGGCAAAA